GCGGAGGUGGCGGAAUUGGCAGACGCACUAGCUUGAGGUGCUAGCGGGUAACACCGUGCAGGUUCAAGUCCUGUCCUCCGCACCA
rnacentral:tRNA from 1 species